rnacentral:misc_RNA from 1 species
GAUGAAGAACGUAGCGAAAUGCGAUAAGUAGUGUGAAUUGCAGAAUUCAGUGAAUCAUCGAAUCUUUGAACGCACAUUGCGCCCCUUGGUAUCCCGAGGGGCAUGCCUGUUCGAGCGUCAUUUCACCACUCAAGCCUGGCUUGGUGUUGGGCGACGACCCCUUUGGGGACGCGCCUCGAAACGCUCGGCGGCGUGGCACCGGCUUUAAGCGUAGCAGAAUCUUUCGCUUUGGAAGUCGGGGCCCCGUCUGCCGGAAGACCUACUCGCAAGGUUGACCUCGGAUCAGGCAGGGAUACCCGCUGAACUUAAGCAUAUCAAUAAGCGGAGGA